UACGUAGGGUGCGAGCGUUAAUCGGAAUUACUGGGCGCAAAGCGUGCGCAGGCGGUUUUGUAAGCCAGAUGUGAAAUCCCCGGGCUUAACCUGGGAAUGGCAUUUGGGACUGCAAGGCUGGAGUGCGGCAGAGGAGACUGGAAUUCCCGGUGUAGCAGUGAAAUGCGUAGAUAUCGGGAGGAAUACCGAUGGCGAAGGCAGGUCUCUGGGCUGACACUGACGCUCAUGCACGAAAGCGUGGGGAGCAAACAGG
rnacentral:rRNA from 1 species